AAUGUGUAAUUACUUUUUUCAAGUGUCAAAUGUCAUUUUUUGUACACAUGAUUUUUUCACAUGUCCAGUGUGUGGUUUGAUUUGAUCGCCUGUUAUGGGCAUUUUUACACGCGUUCUUCACAUCUGUCCAGAGGGCAUUUACAGGUGAUUAGAACGUUUGAAUAUUGUAAUUUCAGACGCGUGAAAUUGUGCCACGGUUUUGGAACGAACGAAGCCAGGCCAAGAGAAUGCUCGGCGGAAAUGGAGUCCCUAGAGAAAGAACGAGAUGGGUGUCAGGAGUGGGGCAGCAGUAUUAUCAUAAGGAGACGUAUACUUGGAAACGGGAGGAGGAAUUGAGGGAAGAAGGGUGUAAGCUUGAGUCGGAUAAAAAUGGUGGAAAAAAGGGAGAUGGUUUGUUAAAGUAGAAUGGUAGAAAGUGUAAGCAGAUGGAGCUGGAGAAAUUGAAGUGAAUGAGGGUGAAGUUAUCCAGAGACCGAGGUAUGCUCCCAGAAUCAGGAAAAACACAUGUCUGUGAGACAGUGUUGCCAACUCCUCAGUAAGGAAAGUAGCUAUUGGCUGUCCUAAAGUAGCUAGAAGUCGCUAAAUGACGUCAUCACCAAAUGUGCAUAAUUGGUCAUGUAAUUGUGAUGGAUGCUGUAGGAGAGACAAAAAUGCGGGAUCAGUCAGCGGCAGCUUCCAGCAUGCGCGAUUCAUUUGCAGUCUGGAUGCAGAGGGGUGAACAUCUCCUGCUCUGACUGCAUCUGGGAGGAACCGCUGCGCGAGGACUGUGGGUGCUUUGGGACGGGGGUGGGGCCCACGGCAGCACCCGCUCCUCGUUGAGAAGAGAAUCUCCAAAUACUAUGUUGAAUGAGCACCGCGGAUGAAAGAGGGGGAGGAAAAUAGACAACUUCCUUCUACCACACCUUCACCAAGUCAUACAAUGUUUGCUUCAUAAACAAUUGUUACAUCAGAAA